CGUCUACAUUAACUGCCUUGCACUGUGAGAAUUAAAACAUCACCACAUAAAGAAUUUAUCUAAACCCUCAAGAGUGUUCAUAAACGCCCCCUUCCGUAUUUAGCUUUAAUAAAUAAAUAUAAUUUAUGCUCGAACCUUCACGGUGAGCUUUUGCGCAUGCGCGACUUUCGGGAAGGAAGGAGAGAGGACUCUCGCCAUAUUCGAUCAACAAGCGUGACGGUGCUCCGAAGCGGUCCAACAAUUCAUACCAUCCAGACGGCAUCCUUACAUCCCUGGACGCUAGAUUGAGGACGCAGCUUACCAGAAUUACGGAUACCAGUUCGACUGUGGGCUGCAAGGAGCAGGUGGGGUCCUGGUGAAUGAAUGGGGAAGUCGAUUGAAGAUCCACAAUCCACCUGCAGGCAGAAAAUUGAACCGAUUUCUUGAGGCAUCGCUUGAUCGGGGAUGAAGGGAAAGAGUCAUUGAAGAGUAAGUAGACUUCUCGUGAGAUUCCUCACGCGUUAUUCAGUGCUCUCAAUACUUCAAAUUCACGAGUUGUCUUGCAGUCAAUCUGCCACAGCGACCUCACCAAUUACGGUUCCACGAGGCACUCUGCGACGCCAUUAUAGACUGGUCUACGAGAGAUUCAGCUUACGUUUUGUGGACGCGUCUAUUUUCCUUUAACCAGACCACCUUCUAUAAAACAGCUAAGCUGUUCCACAAUUAUUUAACACUCACCAGUGUAGAUUAAACAUUAGUAAUGAAUUUGAGCCACUCGAUUAAUUUCGAUUAUGCCAUAAAUAAAUACCACCUCACCCAGGUUGUGAAGGGACGUUCCUACGACAAAAUAUAGAAUCAUACAGUCCAGUAAAAUAUCAUACAGUUCACUUUAAUUAAAAAAAAUAAAGAAAUAAUGUAGUAAAAUAAAUACUUAAUAAAUCAUUGAAUAAAUAAAUAAAUUCCUGCUAGGAGAUUUUCCCCACAAUACUCGAGCAUCAAGUGUUACAUGACGCUACUUGACCAGCAAGUGUUACAUGAGGCUACUUGACCAGCAAGUGUUACAUGAGGCUACUCGACCAGCAAGUGUUACAUGAGGCUACUUGACCAGCAAGUGUUACAUGAGGCUACUCGACCAGCAAGUGUUACAUGAGGCUACUUGACCAGCAAGUGUUACAUGAGGCUACUCGACCAGCAAGUGUUACAUGAGGCUACUUGACCAGCAAGUGUUACAUGAGGCUACUUGACCAGCAAGUGUUACAUGAGGCUACUUGACCAGCAAGUGUUACAUGAGGCUACUACACCAGCAAGUGUUACAUGAGGCUGCUCGACCAGCAAGUGUUACAUGAGGCUACUUGACCAGCAAGUGGUACAUGAGGCUACUUGACCAGCAAGUGUUACAUGAGGCUACUACACCAGCAAGUGUUACAUGAGGCUACUUGACCAGCAAGUGUUACAUGAGGCUACUACACCAGCAAGUGUUACAUGAGGCUACUACACCAGCAAGUGUUACAUGAGGCUACUUGACCAGCAAGUGUUACAUGAGGCUACUACACCAGCAAGUGUUACAUGAGGCUACUUGACCAGCAAGUGUUACAUGAGGCUACUUGACCAGCAAGUGUUACAUGAGGCUACUACACCAGCAAGUGUUACAUGAGGCUACUACACCAGCAAGUGUUACAUGAGGCUACUUGACCAGCAAGUGUUACAUGAGGCUACUACACCAGCAAGUGUUACAUGAGGCUACUCGAUCAGCAAGUGUUACAUGAGGCUACUACACCAGCAAGUGUUACAUGAGGCUACUACACCAGCAAGUGUUACAUGAGGCUACUCGACCAUCAAGUGUUACAUGAGGCUACUCGACCAGCAAGUGUUACUCGAGGCUACUCGACCAUCAAGUGUUACAUGACGCUACUCGACCAUCAAGUGUUACAUGACGCUACUCGACCAUCAAGUGUUACAUGACGCUACUCGACCAGCAAGUGUUACUCGAGGCUACUCGACCAGAAAGCCGUCCUCAGCCUCUAAAUUACAACCAGUAAAAUAUUACAUAACUACUAAUGUGCUAAAGCGUCGAGCUAUGCAAUUAUUCUGUAAUGUAUAAAUUAAUUACAAAGUCAGUGUUGAGACUGUUAUACAUGUAAUGAAUUGCGGUGAACUGAAUUGUAAUAGAAUAUUAACUAUUGAAUCAUUAGAUGAAUACUAACAUUACUGGUAAGUGGGGCAUAAUAUGCAGGGUGUUUUAUUUGUUCAUGAUUGCCUAAAUGGCAUUGUUUAGUGCAGGUGUGUGUAUGUGUGUCACAUCUGGUGAAGGUUCAUUAUAUGAACAUAUAUAUUCAACACAUACACACACAUAUGUACUCACCUAUUUGUGCUUGCAGGAUCGAGCAUUGACUCUUGGAUCCCGCCUUUCCAGCAAUCGGUUGUUUACAGUUGUAAAUCGGUCUAUGUCCGAAACGCUUUGCGUAAUAGUGGCUUUAGGCAUUGUAUGUACUAGCUCUACCUAUAAGUUAAACAAUCCUUGUAAAUAUUUAUUGUAUGUAUGUACCUACCAAAAUAAAUUGUAAAAGUAAUCGGUUGUUUACGUCCACUCCCAGGUCUCUUUCUCGAAUCGUUACAGGUAGGCUGUUCCCCUUCAUUGUGUACUGUCCCUUUGGUCUCCUAUCACCUGAUCCCAUUUCCAUAACUUUACAUUUACUGGUGUUAAACUCCAGUAGCCAUUUCCCUGACCCACAAUGAUGUUACAUACACAUAUGUAUGUAACAUCAGGUGUGCGUGUGCGUGUGUCACAUCUGGUGAUGGUUGUCUAGUGCAGGUGUGUGUGUGUGUCACACCGUAGCCUCAAUCACACACCGUAGCCUCGACCACACACCGUAGCCUCGACCACACACCAUAGCCUCAAUCACACACCGUACCCUCGACCCACACGCCAUAGCCUCGACCACACACCGUAGCCACGACCACACACCGAAGCCUCGACCACACUCCGUAGUCACGACUGUUAUGAUCCCAGGUAGCUGAAAAACGAGUCUACAUUGAGAGUUAUUCUGCAAGACCUGACCUAAAUAAGAGGUCAAAGAAAUAUAGUCACGGAGAUACAUACGUAAAAUAAUUGGUUAGAUUUGAUAAAUAGUUUAAGAGUAUGGGCAGUGAUCAAGAAUAUAAGUAAAUGACUUGACAUGAGAUGUGGAGAGUUUGCUGGUAGUGUGAGGCUUGCUUCUGGAGGGCUUUAACCCUACUUGAGCACCAGACAUCGUGAGGGAAAGCUGCUCUCCGUGUGAGCUCCUGUUAGAGAGGAGCCCCUAGUUAACAUAUCUUCAAGAGGAAGGAAGUGUGCAGACGUAUCAGCUGUGGAAUCGAGCUGGGAACGUGUGGUCUCAAGUCCUGGACGGCAGGAAGAGAUUUGAAGCCGCCCAGAAACAUUUUCAGGGGCAGCAGUGUGUGCGACCUGGUCGGGCGUCAUCGAGGAGCGCCCUCGCAAGAGACAAUAUUGUGAUAAGCCCAAAUUUAACUAGUUAAAAGUGAUUGCCUAUAGUGGAUCGUGUGCCCAGCGAUCGUACCAAGUGUCUGUUGAUAUGUUAGGAAUGUUUUGAUGAGGCAGAAGGCCAAAAUAAGAGAGUAAUGAUGGAGGAACGUCCUGGAGGGCGGAGCGACGUCCGUCCACUCUGACCGCUGGUGGGCGACUCAGUGAGUGGGCCACCCGAGAAGGCAGAGAAUGGACCAGCCCAAACGUGGGGGAGUCACCUCACAGCAUAUAGAAAGCAGAGAGAUGUCAAAUGAAACAUUUAUUGUGUGUGAUUCAUUUCAGUUAUGUGUUUAUAGAGGAACUUUUAUUGGCGUGUCGAUGGGUUACAGGUUUGUCUGGGGAAGGAGUUGCUGAGAACUUCGAAGCCAGCAGAGAGGGAGUAGUUGAUAAGACUCCAAGGUUGUGGAAGGUACUGAGCUCCGUGGAAGAGCAGCCAUACAGUGAAGAGCAGGACCUCGACCACACACCGUAGUCACGACCACACACCGUAGCCUCGACCACACACCGUAGCCUCGACCGCACGCCGUAGCCACGACCACACGCCGUAGACACGACCACACGCCGUAGCCUCGACCACACACCGUAGCCUCGACCACACACCAUAGCCUCAACCACACACCGUAGCCUCGACCACACACCGUAGCCUCGACCACACACCGUAGCCUCGACCACACACCAUUGCCUCAACCACACACCAUAGUCUCGACCACACACUGUAGCCUCGACCACACACCGUAGCCUCGACCACACACCGUAGCCUCGACCACACGCAAUAGCCUCGACCACACACCAUAGUCUCGACCACACGCUGUAGCCUCAACCACACACCAUAGCCUCGACCACACGCUGUAGCCACGACCACACACCGUAGCCUCGUCCACACACUGUUGCUUCGACCACACACCAUAGCCUCAAUCACACACCACAGCCUCGACCACACACCAUAGCCUUGACCACAUACCAUAGCCUCAACCACACACCAUAGCCUCGAUCACACACUGUAGCCACGACCACACACCGUAGCCUCAACCACACACCAUAGCCUCGACCACACACCAUAGCCUCGACCACACACUGUUGCCUCGACCACACACCAUAGCCUCGACCACACACCAUAGCCUCGACCACACACGGUAGCCACAACCACACGCCGUAGCCUCGACCACAUGCUGUAGCCUCGACCACACACCGUUGUCUCGACCACACACCGUAGCCUCGACCACACACCAUAGCCUCGACCACACGCCGUAGCCUCAACCACACACCAUAGCCUCGACCACACGCCGUAGCCACGACCACACACAGUAGCCUCGACCACACACCGUUGCUUCGACCACACACCAUAGCCUCAAUCACACACCACAGCCUCGACCACACACCAUAGCCUCAAUCACACACCGUAGCCUCGACCACACACCACAGCCUCGACCACACACUAUAGCCUCGACCACACACCAUAGCCUUAAUCACACGCCAUAGCCACGACCACACACCGUAGCCUCGACUGUGGGAAAAACCUGCUGGGAUUGAUAUGAGAGGAGAACUACCAGGGACUUGUACUGAACUAAAUUAAAAAUUACUGUCUGCAAAUUAAUUCAACUAAAGU